rnacentral:lncRNA from 1 species
CCAUCAAGUCACACAUCAUCAUUGAAUAAAAUAUAAACAUUAAAAUAAAACCAAGAAAAUAAGAGAAUAAAAGAAAAUAUAGAAAAACUCAAGAAUUGUAUUCUUGAUCUUCAAAUCUCCUUGAAUUCUGCAAAUUCCUCCAAUGAAUCUGUAGCUUGGCUCUCAACUAUUAAUAUGGUGUUUUCUUUUCUCUCUUAAGUCCUUCGAAAGGUUGUUUUUAUAGGCUUUGAAGUUAGGCCAAGUUGGGUGAAGAAAGAAGUCAAUUUCAGCUGGGAUUUCCUCAUCAAACUAUGUAAGUCGCAGCUUUGCCA